rnacentral:rRNA from 1 species
GAUGAACGCUGGCGGCGUGCUUAACACAUGCAAGUCGAACGGUGAACACGGAGCUUGCUCUGUGGGAUCAGUGGCGAACGGGUGAGUAACACGUGAGCAACCUGCCCCUGACUCUGGGAUAAGCGCUGGAAACGGCGUCUAAUACUGGAUAUGUGACGUGACCGCAUGGUCUGCGUUUGGAAAGAUUGUUCGGUUGGGGAUGGGCUCGCGGCCUAUCAGCUUGUUGGUGGGGUAAUGGCUCACCAAGGCGUCGACGGGUAGCCGGCCUGAGAGGGUGACCGGCCACACUGGGAUUGAGACACGGCCCAGACUCCUACGGGAGGCAGCAGUGGGGAAUAUUGCACAAUGGGCGGAAGCCUGAUGCAGCAACGCCGCGUGAGGGAUGACGGCCUUCGGGUUGUAAACCUUUUUUAGCAGGGAAGAAGCGAAAGUGACGGUACCUGCAGAAAAAGCGCCGGCUAACUACGUG